UCUGGAGACAGGUGCUGCAUGGCUGUCGUCAGCUCGUGUCGUGAGAUGUUGGGUUAAGUCCCGCAACGAGCGCAACCCUUGCCUUUAGUUGCCAGCAGUUCGGCUGGGCACUCUAAAGGGACUGCCGGUGUUAAACCGGAGGAAGGUGGGGAUGACGUCAAGUCCUCGUGGCCUUUAUGACCAGGGCUACACACGUACUACAAUGGCCGAUACAAAGGGCAGCGACACUGCGAGGUGAAGCCAAUCCCGUAAAAUCGGUCUCAGUCCGGAUUGGAGUCUGCAACUCGACUCCAUGAAGUUGGAAUCGCUAGUAAUCGUGGAUCAGCAUGCCACGGUGAAUACGUUCCCGGGCCUU
rnacentral:rRNA from 1 species